rnacentral:rRNA from 1 species
AGCGAACGCUGGCGGCAGGCCUAACACAUGCAAGUCGAACGAACUCUUCGGAGUUAGUGGCGGACGGGUGAGUAACACGUGGGAACGUGCCUUUAGGUUCGGAAUAACUCAGGGAAACUUGUGCUAAUACCGAAUGUGCCCUUCGGGGGAAAGAUUUAUCGCCUUUAGAGCGGCCCGGGUCUGAUUAGCUAGUUGGUGAGGUAAAGGCUCACCAAGGCGACGAUCAGUAGCUGGUCUGAGAGGAUGAUCAGCCACAUUGGGACUGAGGCACGGCCCAAACUCCUACGGGAGGCAGAAGUGGGGAAUCUUGCGCAAUGGGCGAAAGCCUGACGCAGCCAUGCCGCGUGAAUGAUGAAGGUCUUAGGAUUGUAAAAUUCUUUCACCGGGGACGAUAAUGACGGUACCCGGAGAAGAAGCCCCGGCUAACUUCGUGCCAGCAGCCGCCGUAA